ACACGACUACAUUAGAUACCCCUGUAGUCCUAGCCGUAAACGAUACUCGCUAGGUGUCGGCCACGGUGCGACCGUUGUCGGUGCCGUAGGGAAGCCGUGAAGCGAGCCACCUGGGAAGUACGGCCGCAAGGCUGAAACUUAAAGGAAUUGGCGGGGAGCACAACAACGGGUGGAGCUUGCGGUUUAAUUGGAUUCAACGCCGGAAAUCUUACCGGGACCGACAGCAACAUGAAGGCCAGGCUGAAGACUUUGCCGGAUUAGCUG
rnacentral:rRNA from 1 species